CCUAGCCACCAACGCCCGGAUCUCACAAUCAAAAUAACUGGAUCUCACCCUCUAUCGCCGAAACCCUAACCCCAUCCACCGCCUUACCUUCUUCUUCUCCCCUCCUCUCUCUCUCUCUCUCUCUCUCUCUCUCUCUCUCUCUCUCUCUCUCCUUCCUUAGAUCAGAAAUCCUCUUGGAUCGUUAUUCUAUUCGCUAGGGAUGACACUACAGAUGGAUAGGGUUUGCAAUCUCAUUCUUCCCUUUUUUUUUUCAUUUCAGAAGUUUUAGGAGUUAGUGGUUUGUGAAAAUUUGUGUGAGUGUUUUUUUUUAAUAGUUUAGCUUGAGAAGCCCUCUUAUUGCAAUUUCAAGGGUUUUAGAGCAACAAUGAGCGCUAGCGAACAAAUGAUCUCAGUCAACCCCGAGGAGCUCACCUUCAAAUUUGAGCUUAAGAAGGCAAGUGAAAGUUUGGUUUCAUAAUAGAAGAGCUAGGUUUGUUCCUUUUCAU